CAGGAGAGGAACCUGUGACUCGACGUAAGAAAAGCACGUCAAAGCAGCAGCUUAGACAGAAGAGAGGCUCAGGAGGAGGAGCUUCAGUGACUCAACACAAACAGCAGUCUGCAGAAGAGCAAAGCUCAGAAGGAGAGGAACCUGUGACUCGACGUAAGAAAAGCACGUCAAAGCAGCAGCUUAGACAGAAGAGAGGCUCAGGAGGUGGUAAAAAGGCAAAAACAAAAAAG